rnacentral:tmRNA from 1 species
CCCCUUUUCUUUUUGGCGCACAGGCCUAUAUGCGGUUCUGCCGGUUUCGACCGGAUAUGGCGAUAAACUGCGGCGUGCAAUAGGCGCAGCGGACCCGGGGGCGGUACCCGGCGGCUCCACCAUCACCACCCGGAAUUUUGGCCGGGGCCCUGUUGUCGCAGGGGUGUUGACGGGGCCGAACUAGGAUCGACGUGUGUUGAAAAACGCUGUUUUCGCCCGGGCUGAGUAACCCGUUCAAGGCUCAAAACUCAUAAGUGCCAACGACAACGAAGCACUUGCUCUGGCUGCGUAAUUCUAGGACCUAACGGUCUGAAGUUACAAAUACAGAACACGGUUGAACCCACCGGGUAACAGAAGGGAAUUCGGGGGCCCGGGGGUGCCUAGCAACAGAAACCCCCACC